UAAGGAAUAUUGGUCAAUGGAGGCAACUCUGAACCAGCCAUGCCGCGUGCAGGAAGACAGCCCUCUGGGUCGUAAACUGCUUUUAUUCGGGAAUAAACCUUAUUACGUGUAAUAAGCUGAAUGUACCGAAGGAAUAAGGAUCGGCUAACUCCGUGCCAGCAGCCGCGGUAAUACGGAGGAUCCAAGCGUUAUCCGGAUUUAUUGGGUUUAAAGGGUGCGUAGGCGGCUUAUUAAGUCAGGGGUGAAAGACGGUGGCUCAACCAUCGCAGUGCCUUUGAUACUGAUGAGCUUGAAUGAACUAGAGGUAGGCGGAAUGUGACAAGUAGCGGUGAAAUGCAUAGAUAUGUCACAGAACACCGAUUGCGAAGGCAGCUUACUAUGGUUUUAUUGACGCUGAGGCACGAAAGCGUGGGGAUCAAACAG
rnacentral:rRNA from 1 species